UACGGGGGGAGCAAGCGUUGUUCGGAUUUACUGGGCGUGAAGGCGCGUAGGCGGCCACCGCAAGUCGACUGUGAAAUCUCCGGGCUUAACCCGGAAACUGCCAUUGAUACUAUAGGUCUUGAAUUAUCUGGAGGUAAGCGGAAUAUGUCAUGUAGCGGUGAAAUGCUUAGAUAUGACAUAGAACACCAAUUGCGAAGGCAGCUUACUACGGAUCGAUUGACACUGAGGCACGAAAAGCGUGGGGAUCAAACAGG
rnacentral:rRNA from 1 species